CAGUAGCCGCGGUAAUACAGAGGAUGCAAGCGUUAUCCGGAAUGAUUGGGCGUAAAGCGUCUGUAGGUGGCUUUUCAAGUCCGUCGUCAAAUCCCAGGGCUCAACCCUGGACAGGCGGUGGAAACUACCAAGUUGGAGUACGGUAGGGGCAGAGGGAAUUUCCGGUGGAGCGGUGAAAUGCGUUGAGACCGGAAAGAGCACCAACGGCGAAAGCACUCUGCUGGGCCGACGUUGACACUGAGAGACGAACGCUAGGGGAGAAAUUGGGAUUAGAUACCCCAGUAGUCCCUGUCUCUUAUCC
rnacentral:rRNA from 1 species